UGAUGCAGCCAUGCCGCGUGGUGUGAAGAAGGCCUUCGGGUUGUAAAGCACUUUCAGUUGUGAGGAAAAGUUAGUAGUUAAUACCUGCUAGCCGUGACGUUAACAACAGAAGAAGCACCGGCUAACUCCGUGCCAGCAGCCGCGGUAAUACGGAGGGUGCGAGCGUUAAUCGGAAUUACUGGGCGUAAAGCGCACGCAGGCGGUUUGUUAAGCUAGAUGUGAAAGCCCCGGGCUCAACCUGGGAUGGUCAUUUAGAACUGGCAGACUAGAGUCUUGGAGAGGGGAGUGGAAUUCCAGGUGUAGCGGUGAAAUGCGUAGAUAUCUGGAGGAACAUCAGUGGCGAAGGCGACUCCCUGGCCAAAGACUGACGCUCAUGUGCGAAAGUGUGGGUAGCGAACAGGGUUAGAUACCCUGGUAGUCCACACCGUAAACGCUGUCUACUAGCUGUUUGUGACUUUAAGCCGUGAGUAGCGAAGCUAACGCGAUAAGUAGACCGCCUGGGGAGUACGGCCGCAAGGUUAAAACUCAAAUGAAUUGACGGGGGCCCGCACAAGCGGUGGAGCAUGUGGUUUAAUUCGAUGCAACGCGAAGAACCUUACCUACACUUGACAUGCAGAGAACUUUCCAGAGAUGGAUUGGUGCCUUCGGGAACUCUGACACAGGUGCUGCAUGGCUGUCGUCAGCUCGUGUCGUGGGAUGUUGGGUUAAGUCCCGCAACGAGCGCAACCCUUGUCCUUAGUUGCCAGCAUUCAGUUGGGCACUCUAAGGAGACUGCCGGUGACAAACCGGAGGAAGGUGGGGA
rnacentral:rRNA from 1 species